GCUUUUUAAACAUCACCUUAUACUGUUGAACAAAAUCCCAAAACUCACCCUUGAUUCUAAACACCUUGUGUGACAUCUUCCUUACCUUUGCCAAAUAACCUUUUUUCCCCUCUUCCUGAGCUGUUGCAUCAGCUUUCCACUUCUGCUUUGCCUGUGUCACCCGCUCCUUUUAUCACUGUCACUAACUGAUUGCCAUACACUGUGUUCAGGUUUAAUUCUAUAGCCCCAUUACAAGUUCCUGUACAGGACUAAGAUGCUGCAAGUGAAUGUUUAGAUGUUGUACUGAGGAACAUGGUUUACCAGGAAAUAUUGGUGAUAGGUGGACGGUUAAUAUGGAUGAUCUUAGAGGUUUUUUCCAACCUUGGUGAUUCUGUAAUUCUGAGUGUUGUUUCCAGGUAACCGUUGUGAGAUCACAAGACAAACAGCAAAGCCGCAGAUUAACUAGCCAAAGGUAGCUCUGCCCACAGAGGACGUUUCAAAGAUGUAGGCCCUUCAUGCUCUGUGUUUUGUGAGAGGUCACCAAUGGAGCCACACUGCCUUGAUACUGGAAGCCUUCCAUCUCCAAGAACAAACCCUAAGAUACUUCACUGGCCAGCAUCCCCAGCUUUUAUAGGUGACUGUGGCUCCACAGACAACAGUGGAAAUAUGCUCCAUUCCUAAAAUGGAAGAAACAAAGACUUCAAGAUCUGCUACAAUUUUCUUCUGAAAUGAAUGCCAGCUUUUCUAUUGAUUGCAUAGAAUGCCUUUAAAAGGAAAUUCAAAUGUAAAGGGAUAAUAAUACACAUUUCAGGGUUUGUUAAGGAAAUUUCACAAACAGGAGCAGCGACACAAACAUCUUCUAGGCAGCUUUGUAUUUCGCUAACUUAGUUCAAAUUAAAUUAAAUUGGCAUUUAG
rnacentral:lncRNA from 1 species